UGGGGAAUAUUGGACAAUGGGCGAAAGCCUGAUCCAGCCAUGCCGCGUGUGUGAAGAAGGCCUUUUGGUUGUAAAGCACUUUAAGCGAGGAGGAGGCUACUUGGAUUAAUACUCUAGGAUAGUGGACGUUACUCGCAGAAUAAGCACCGGCUAACUCUGUGCCAGCAGCCGCGGUAAUACAGAGGGUGCGAGCGUUAAUCGGAUUUACUGGGCGUAAAGCGUGCGUAGGCGGCUUCUUAAGUCGGAUGUGAAAUCCCUGAGCUUAACUUAGGAAUUGCAUUCGAUACUGGGAAGCUAGAGGAUGGGAGAGGAUGGUAGAAUUCCAGGUGUAGCGGUGAAAUGCGUAGAGAUCUGGAGGAAUACCGAUGGCGAAGGCAGCCAUCUGGCCUAAUACUGACGCUGAGGUACGAAAGCAUGGGGAGCAAACAGG
rnacentral:rRNA from 1 species